rnacentral:tRNA from 1 species
GGCUGCAUGGCCUAAUGGAUAAGGUAUCUGAUUCCAGGUCAGAAGAUUAAGGGUUCAGGUCCCUUCAUGAUCA